GACGAACGCUGGCGGCGUGCUUAACACAUGCAAGUCGAACGGAAAGGCCCUGCUUUUGUGCGGUGCUCGUGUGGCGCACGGGUGAGUAACACGUGAGUAUACUGCCCUUGUCUUUGGGAUAACUCCAGGAAACUGGGGCUAUUACAGGAUAUAAUCUCCUGCUGCAUGUGGUGCGUUGGAAAGAUUCGGCGGUUCGGGAUGGACUCGCGGCUUAUCGGCUUCUUGGUCGGGUAGUGGCUUACCAAGGCUUUGACGGCUAGCCGGCCUGAGAGAGUGACCGGCGACAUUGGGACUGAGAGACGGACCAGUCGCGUACGGGAGGCAGCGGUGGAGAAUAUUGCACAAUGGGCGGGAGCGUGAUGUAGCAACGCCGCGUGCGGGAUGACGGCCUUCGGGGUGUAAACCGCUUUCGCCUGAGACGAAGCGUGAGUGACGGUAAUGGGUAAAGAAGCACCGGCUAACUACGUG
rnacentral:rRNA from 1 species